GAUGUACUCCCUCCGUCCAAAAUUAUUUGUCACAGAAUGAAUGUAUUCAGACAUAUUUUAGUUCUAUAUACAUUCAUUUUCAUUUAUUUCUGGACAAGUAAUUUUGGAUGGAAGGAGUACUAC
rfam:Triticum urartu cultivar G1812 contig22085, whole genome shotgun sequence.